rnacentral:misc_RNA from 1 species
AACCAUUCUCACCUGCGGCUAGACCUGCGGAAGGAUCAUUACCGAGUUUACAACUCCCAAACCCAUGUGAACAUACCUAUCGUUGCUUCGGCGGGAUCGCCCCGGGCGCCUCGUGUGCCCCGGAUCCGGCGCCCGCCUAGGAACCUUAACUCUUGUUUUAUUUUGGAAUCUUCUGAGUAGUUUUUACAAAUAAAUAAAAACUUUCAGCAACGGAUCU